UCCUACGGGAGGCAGCAGCAGGGAAUCUUGGGCAAUGGGCGAAAGCCUGACCCAGCGACGCCGCGUGGAGGAAGAAGUCCUUCGGGGCGUAAACUCCUGGACUGGGGGACGAGGAAGGACGGUACCCCAGUAGAAAGGGACGGCUAACUACGUGCCAGCAGCCGCGGUAAAACGUAGGUCCCGAGCGUUGUUCGGAUUCACUGGGUGUAAAGGGCGCGUAGGUGGUUGUCUGUGUCUCAUGUGAAAACUCAGGGCUCAACUCUGAGAUUGCGUGGGAAACUAGGCAGCUAGAGGACGGUAGAGGGGAGUGGAAUUCCCGGUGUAGCGGUAAAAUGCGUAGAUAUCGGGAGGAACACCGGUGGCGAAGGCGGCUCUCUGGGCCGAUCCUGACGCUGAGGCGCGAAAGCUAGGGGAGCGAACCGGAUUAGAUACCCGGGUAGUCCUAGCCGUAAACGAUGGGUGCUAGGUGUUGGGGGGUAAAGACCCUUCAGUGCCGAAGCCAACGCGAUAAGC
rnacentral:rRNA from 1 species